rnacentral:rRNA from 1 species
GACAAACGCUGGCGGCGUGCUUAACACAUGCAAGUCGAACGGGGUACCCGUAAUUGAGGCUUCGGCCAAUUUUAUGGACUACCUAGUGGCGGACGGGUGAGUAACACGUGAGUAACCUGCCCUUGAGUGGGGAAUAACACACCGAAAGGUGUGCUAAUACCGCAUAACAUAUCGGAGCCGCAUGACUCUGAUAUCAAAGAUUUAUUGCUCAAGGAUGGGCUCGCGGCCGAUUAGGUAGUUGGUGAGGUAACGGCUCACCAAGCCGACGAUCGGUAGCCGGACUGAGAGGUUGAACGGCCACAUUGGGACUGAGACACGGCCCAGACUCCUACGGGAGGCAGCAGUGGGGAAUAUUGCACAAUGGGGGAAACCCUGAUGCAGCGACGCCGCGUGAAGGACGAAGGUCUUCGGAUCGUAAACUUCUUUUACCAGGGACGAAGAACGUGACGGUACCUGGAGAAAAAGCCACGGCUAACUACGUG